rnacentral:rRNA from 1 species
GACGAACGCUGGCGGCGUGCCUAAUACAUGCAAGUCGAACGAGAGCGACCGGUGCUUGCACUGUUCAAUCUAGUGGCGAACGGGUGAGUAACACGUGGGUAACCUGCCCAUCAGAGGGGGAUAACAUUCGGAAACGGAUGCUAAAACCGCAUAGGUCUUCGAACCGCAUGGUUUGAAGAGGAAAAGAGGCGCAAGCUUCUGCUGAUGGAUGUACCCGCGGUGCAUUAGCUAGUUGGUGAGGUAACGGCUCACCAAGGCCGUGAUGCAUAGCCGACCUGAGGGGGUGAUCGGCCACAUUGGGACUGAGACACGGCCCAAACUCCUACGGGAGGCAGCAGUAGGGAAUCUUCCGCAAUGGACGCAAGUCUGACGGAGCAACGCCGCGUGAGUGAAGAAGGUUUUCGGAUCGUAAAACUCUGUUGUUAGAGAAGAAUAAGUGCUAGAGUAACUGUUAGCGCCUUGACGGUAUCUAACCAGAAAGCCACGGCUAACUACGUG